UUUUCAGUUUGAAGAAUUGUUUGGAGUACUUCCUGACUUGACUAUGUUUUCAAUGGGAUCUGCAAAGAACAAAGCUAAAGGCUUUGACUUGGAGUUUGGUGCGUUGGUUGGAUGUCCUGACAAAUCUAUGAAGCAUGAGAUCAACAAGCCUCGUAAUUUCAGAAGAAUUCAUCAAAGGGUAAAGGCGCUGAAGAAUUGGAAGUGGGAUGAGGUGAUUGAAAUCGACAGUUUUGGUGAAGAUUCGUAAGAUGAUGAUAUGCUAAUUAAAAAGGUUAAUCGAUGCUUUUACUUCACUCCACGGUGGGCUACCAUAUGAACGUGAUGUGGCACUUUUGUUUUUUCUUUCGUUGUUGUUUUUCCUUUGGAAACGUUAGCUUGGGUGUUUAGGUUGUUUAGUUAUGUUGUUUUUAUGUAUGAUGAUGAUUAGAUGGUGAAAUGGUUUGUAAUCAUUUCGUAUUUAUUUGUCGUUGUAGUUUUAUUUUAAUGGAUUCUUAUGUUUGUUAUCAAAAGUUAGUUACAAUUUUGAAUUU